rnacentral:lncRNA from 1 species
UUUAUAAAAAUGUUUUGUUCAAGAUAUAAGAACAUUGAAGACUUUUUCUAUCUUACAAUUCAUCCAAAAGUAUGAUGCCUACAAGUUUGGAGCGGCUACAUAUCAUUUAAGUUUAGGGUAAAAUCUGAUUAACGGGUGAUUUUAUAGCAAAAUAUGAUUAUCUAAUCUCUCGGUUAUGAAACAUAACUGAAAGAAUAUAUUAUUAAUUAAAAAAAAAACACCACUUUUACAGAAAUAAAAGUAUAAACAGUUGUUGUUGGGAUUCGAAGCAUGUCCUGAAU